UGCCCCUGGCAUAGUGGUUUGCGCACUGGACUACAAUUCUAGAGACCAGGGUUCGAUUCCCUGCUCAA